rnacentral:rRNA from 1 species
GACGAACGCUGGCGGCGUGCUUAACACAUGCAAGUCGUACGGUAAGGCCCUUUCGGGGGUACACGAGUGGCGAACGGGUGAGUAACACGUGAGUAACCUUCCCACAACUUUGGGAUAACGCUAGGAAACUGGGGCUAAUACUGGAUAUGUGCUCCUGCUGCAUGGUGGGGGUUGGAAAGCUCCGGCGGUUGUGGAUGGACUCGGGGCCUAUUAGCUUGUUGGUGGGGUAGUGGCCUACCAAGGCGGCGACGGGUAGCCGGCCUGAGAGGGUGACCAGGCACACUGGAAGUGAGAGACGGGCCAGACGCCUACGGGAGGCAGCAGUGGGGAAUAUUGGACGAUGGGCGAAAGCGUGAUCCAGCCAUGCCGCGUGUGUGAAGAAGGUCUUCGGAUUGUAAAGCACUGUAAGUGGGGAGGAAGGGCAGGAAGGUAAUACCUUGCUGUUUUGACGGGACCAACAGAAUAAGCACCGGCUAACUUCGUG